UACGUAGGUGGCAAGCGUUGUCCGGAUUUACUGGGCGUAAAGGAUGCGUAGGCGGAUACUUAAGUCAGAUGUGAAAAUCCCGGGCUUAACUUGGGAACUGCAUUUGAAACUGGGUAUCUAGAAGUCCGGAAGAGGCGAGUGGAAUUCCUGGUGUAGCGGUGAAUGCGCAGAUAUCAGGAGGAACACCGAUGGCGAAGGCAGCUCGCUGGGACGGUACUGACGCUGAGGCACGAAAGCGUGGGGAGCAAACAGG
rnacentral:rRNA from 1 species